rnacentral:rRNA from 1 species
AGAAUCAACGCUGGCGGCGUGCCUAACACAUGCAAGUCGAACGAGAAAGUGGAGCAAUCCAUGAGUAAAGUGGCGCACGGGUGAGUAACACGUGACUAACCUACCUUUUAGUGGGGGAUAACCUAGGGAAACCUGGGCUAAUACCGCAUAAUACCUACGGGUCAAAGCAGCAAUGCGCUGAAAGAGGGGGUCGCGGCCGAUUAGCUAGUUGGCGGGGUAAUGGCCCACCAAGGCAGUGAUCGGUAUCCGGCCUGAGAGGGCGCACGGACACACUGGAACUGAAACACGGUCCAGACUCCUACGGGAGGCAGCAGUGGGGAAUUUUGCGCAAUGGGGGAAACCCUGACGCAGCAACGCCGUGUGGAGGAUGAAGUCCCUUGGGACGUAAACUCCUUUCGAUCGGGACGAUAAUGACGGUACCGGAAGAAGAAGCCCCGGCUAACUUCGUGCCAGCAGCCGCGGUAAUACGAGGGGGGCAAGCGUUGUUCGGAAUUAUUGGGCGUAAAGGGUGCGUAGGUGGUUCGGCAAGUCUUGUGUGAAAUCUUCAGGCUCAACUUGAAGUCUGCACAAGAAACUGCCGGGCUUGAGUAUGGGAGAGGUGAGUGGAAUUUCCGGUGUAGCGGUGAAAUGCGUAGAUAUCGGAAGGAACACCUGUGGCGAAAGCGGCUCA